UACAGAGGGGGCAAGCGUUGUUCGGAAUUACUGGGCGUAAAGGGCGCGUAGGCGGCCUUCUAAGUCGAACGUGAAAUCCCCGGGCUCAACCCGGGAACUGCGUCCGAUACUGGAAGGCUUGAAUCCGGGAGAGGGAUGCUGAAUUCCAGGUGUAGCGGUGAAAUGCGUAGAUAUCUGGAGGAACACCGGUGGCGAAGGCGGCAUCCUGGACCGGUAUUGACGCUGAGGCGCGAAAGCCAGGGGAGCAAACGGG
rnacentral:rRNA from 1 species